GACGAACGCUGGCGGCGUGCUUAACACAUGCAAGUCGAACGGAAAGGCCCUGCUUUUGUGGGGUGCUCGAGUGGCGAACGGGUGAGUAACACGUGAGUAACCUGCCCUUGACUUUGGGAUAACUUCAGGAAACUGGGGCUAAUACCGGAUAGGAGCUCCUGCUGCAUGGUGGGGGUUGGAAAGUUUCGGCGGUUGGGGAUGGACUCGCGGCUUAUCAGCUUGUUGGUGGGGUAGUGGCUUACCAAGGCUUUGACGGGUAGCCGGCCUGAGAGGGUGACCGGCCACAUUGGGACUGAGAUACGGCCCAGACUCGUACGGGCGGCAGCAGUGGGGAAUAUUGCACAAUGGGCGGAAGCCUGAUGCAGCAACGCCGCGUGCGGGAUGACGGCCUUCGGGUUGUAAACCGCUUUCGCCUGUGACGAAGCGUGAGUGACGGUAAUGGGUAAAGAAGCACCGGCUAACUACGUG
rnacentral:rRNA from 1 species